rnacentral:rRNA from 1 species
UACGGGGGGGCAAGCGUUGUUCGGAAUUACUGGGCGUAAAGGGCUCGUAGGUGGCCAACUAAGUCAGACGUGAAAUCCCUCGGCUUAACCGGGGAACUGCGUCUGAUACUGGAUGGCUUGAGUUCGGGAGAGGGAUGCGGAAUUCCGAGGUGUAGCGGUGAAAUGCGUAGAUAUCUGGAGGAACACCGGUGGCGAAGGCGGCAUCCUGGACCGACACUGACACUGAGGAGCGAAAGCCAGGGGAGCAAACAGG